rnacentral:tRNA from 2 species
GGGGGUGUAGCUCAAUUGGCUAGAGCGUUUGAAUGGCAUUCAAAAGGCAGACAGUUCGAAUCUGUUCACCUCCA